CGGCCCAAGGGGAUGGGGCCAGAGCCAUUGCCAACCACCAGCGGCAUUCCCUCUGCUCCCUUAGCCUCUGAGAGGUGUCCCUGGCCAAGUUUACCUCUCUAAAUCUUCCUGUGUUCGGUUUACAAGUGAAAUGAGGAGCAUUGGGUAUUUGCACUGCCCCUUUUACCUGGCCCAAAUCUGCCAAUUUUUGGUAAUUUGUCUCAGCAACAAAGAUGAAGCAGACUGCACUUUAACCUCACGUAAAUCCUCAGAAUAAUUCAGCCAUAUUUUUCUUGUGUCCUCAUGUUGAUCUGGUUUAGUCCUGGGGAUGACAAUGAUCACAGUUGUUCUUUAUGUCCUCCCCAGUGAGGAAGGCUGAAGGAAACUGGAAAGCUUCUGAGCCAGACAGCAGUGUGAAGCAGGCAGAUGUGGGCCCAGACCGCAAGGACCGGCAUUUUGUUAUCAGAUGGAUAAACCUGGCUCCUGUCCCAAAGCUGUGGAGACACAGCAGCUCUGGAUUGUUUUCCCCAUUUGCCUCCUGCCUGAAACAAAGACUGUUUAACUCUCCUCACUUCUGUUCAUAAAUAGUCUCAGCAGACGCUUCUUGUGGGUUUCUCUUUUGGAAAUCUCACUCAGAUGUUUCAGUCUUGCACUCUGUAGACUCCUAAUUGUGAUGCUCUCACAGUCUGAGACCAGCUCUCCAUUUGAACCAGUUAGUUGUGUAGAUCCUUGUGGGGCAGCAGCAGCGCCAUGGGAAUCUGGGUGCAUGCAGUGGGGCAAUCCACAGGCACGAGCAGAGGUGACAUUGCUACCCUCUGUUUGGCAUUCCCCAAGAGGCUGCAGCAGCUAAAUCCGAAUUUGCUCAAGUGUAUAAUGACCUGGGCUAGAUUAAAUCAUGUUCCUCUAGUGGGCAAUGGUGAGCAUCUGAAGGCAGGAGUCUUGAUGGGAGCUGGAAGAAGGUGGUGGGGAACUGUAGGUAAGGAAUAGGAGCACCUGGUUGCCACUGUCCAGCAGCCGGAGCUGCCUGGGGCCAGUGCAAUUUCAUUGCAUUUUACACUGCACAGGUUAAAAAAGGUGCAAAGAGGAGGAAUGAGACAUUUCUGAGUUUUGUUCAUUUAAUUAUCAGAACUCCUGAUUUCCACUAGAGGAACUAUGUCAUGGUGGAAUGGGCAUGGGCACCAUUCUGGCUUUGCAGGUCUGUCACAGAAAGAAAGACCACAGCAGCUCCAAAAAUUUGGUUUUCUUAUAGAAAAAGGACUUAGUAUGGCCUAAAUUAAAAAAAAAAAUAUUUUUUUUUUAAAUUUAUGUGGUAGUUUACAGUUUUAAUUUAAUUCCUUCCAAGCAUUUUGGUAGAAGAGGAAAAGCCAGGAUAAAUGUUGCUGAAAUAGAAUGCUUCAUGCAGUGGAAAAUUCUGAUUUAAUUUCUGAAAACAUGAAAGAUUGCAGUCAAAACAGGAGCUGUCAUGCUGCUGAAAAGUCAUAUUUUACAUUUGCAGCUGUCAUUCUUGUCUGAAGGCUGAGAUCCUGAGGGGACCCCUCAGCUUCCUUUCCCUGGGAGGUGCUGGCCUUGCUAUUUGCAGAGACAGGAUGAUCCUGGCCUCUAGGAAAGCUGGAGGAUACAGAGAGCAAAGUGCAGCUCUAGUCUACAGACCCUGUGACUUUCAUUUUACAGGACUCUCAUGGACCUCUCAGGAAGAGACUGCACUUUACAAAUUUAAAGAAGGACCAGGACCUCUACAUAACAACCUAAUCUCACUUUCGGGGAGUGCAUGUAGUAGUGGGAAGCGAUUCAAGAUGACUGAUUAGGAGCACUUGUAUCUCAGCUCUCAGUUUGCUCCGCUCUACUGCAUCUGAAGGUCAUCUCAGAACAGUGAAGAACUCCAAAAAUGGAAAUUGGGAGUGAUUUGUGCUUGCACGUUUUUAAAUGUGGGAGUUCACAUUUUCAGGUGCAACUGCAGGUUUCCCUGCUACUUUGAAGAGGCUUGAAAUAGACUCCUGAGGAAAAAAAUCCACAUUGUUUUCUUUCCCACCCCCACCUCAACAAGGGAAAUUCUACUUAACCUGCUGAGUCCAAAGCAUGAGCUAGAUUGAGAGGUGAGAAAAUUAUGUAAAGUUCCUGUGCUUGUGAAAGUCUGAUAAAAGGAAACAACCCUGAUCUGCUCAUAGAAUGUGAAAGGUAAGAAAACAAGGCAGGUGAAGUGAUUUCAUGUUAAAGUUUUGUCAGGGAAAUGAGUGGUUUCAACUUCUAAUCUCAGGGAACUUAAUCUCUGUAAACAUGGUGAUAAGGACAGAAGGGAGGAAAACUCUCUCCCAAGUAAAAUGUUGCUCCGGCAAUAGAGAAUUAAUACAGUGGGACUCAAUAGUGAUCCAACAAGGAAAUCAAUCCAUUGUGAGACUUCACACUAAUGAGUGAAAUGGGUUUUUAAGAAGAAUUGUUUGGUUUGGAUUGUAGCUUGGUUUUUGUAGGUUGGGUUUUUUUGUUGUUUUGGGUUUUUUUAAUGUCUGCAUGGGUACUUCGUGUCCUUUAAAUAGGCCACACCUUCAAACAGACUUGGCCUGACAGUGAAAGCAAGACAGUGACUUUUCAUAGCUCAGGGUCUAAAUGUUGCCAAGAGAUGAACUAUUUAUAAGCUUAACACCUGACUAGGUGCUAAAUAACUCUGGCUGAUAAAGCUUUUGGUGCAAAAUUAUCACUCCAGAUUAAGACUGGACUGGACACCCAAAGACCUGGAAUGCUAGAAAUUAUUCAGGUAGGAUUUAAGAUGCAUUUUAAAAGGUGUAUUUAAUGUAUCUUCUCUAAGAUUGUAUAAUUCAGUAAGAUUAUGGAGUUUAAUAAUGACGGACAGGUGUUUUACCUGUAAACAACACAACAGGGAAUUUAUUUGAAAGAAAAUCACCUAAGUGUUUAAAUACAGCAUUAAACCACAAA